rnacentral:rRNA from 1 species
GACGAACCGUGCGAACGUUGUUCGGAUUCACUGGGCUUAAAGGGCGCGUAGGCGGACAAUCAAGUCAGGGGUGAAAGCCUCCAGCUCAACUGGAGAAGUGCCUUUGAUACUGACUGUCUCGAGGGAGGUAGGGGCAUGUGGAACUUCCGGUGGAGCGGUGAAAUGCGUAGAUAUCGGAAGGAACGCCGGUGGCGAAGGCGGUGGGCUGGGCCGGCACUGACGCUGAGGAGCGAAAGCGUGGGGAGCGAACAGG